AUGACUAGAGGGUAUGUGAUUCUCAUGUUCUUGAUGGCUGCAGUUGUCCUCUGCAGCCAUCAGCAAGCGGUGGCGAAAAACAUCGCCAGCGCGACCACUAGUUGCAGCGAUAGUGAUAAGGGGAAAAUAAAGAAGUGCAUGACACAAACAGUCUCUAUAGAUAAAUGUUGCCCCUUAUUUAAAAGGACAAUUGGUGCUAAUUGUAAGUGUUACAAUUAUGCUGAGGAUUAGGAUAAUCAAGAUUUAAUUACUCUUCAGAGUUAUUGUGAUGUCAAUAAUCCAUGUAAAAGUGUUCAAGUAAGUUCUUCCUUCUUUGUCUUACAAAUAGAAAAACUUGUUGAUAGAAAUAGGACUGGCACAGUGGAAGCGGUGGCGACCAUUUCUGCCAGCCCAAGCCCCCGGGUGCGCCCUCAGGCGCAGACGAAAUGCAGUGCCGCUGAUAAAGCAAAGGUUAAAACUUGCAUGACGAAAACAAGCUCAAUAGAUGCAUGCUGCCCAACAUUCAGAAGCAUACUAGGCAAGAGCUGCCCUUGCUAUAAUUAUGCCAUGAAAUUAGACAAUCAAGCUUUGAUUACUCUUGAAGCUUAUUGUGAUGUUAACAAUCCUUGUAACAAAGUGCAAGUGAUAUGAAUCGAGCUAGCCAGGAUGGAGAUGGAAGAAAAUAUUUAUUAUAAUGAAUGUUUAUUUCCUAGUUCUGUAUGAGUUGAACCACUCCUAUUUUAUCUAAGACUUUGAGCAAUAACUUAGCUUCCUUUUGCAUUACAUAUAUUCUUGUAGCAAACUUUUGGACUAAAUAUGUAUGUCAUAUAUUCUCCACCACGGAGGCCACUCCCACCUUGUUCCUAAUUUUAAGUUUUUGACUGUCAAAAAAUGUUAUGGUAACAUUUCAAUUGAAA